UACGUAGGGUGCGAGCGUUAAUCGGAAUUACUGGGCGUAAAGCGUGCGCAGGCGGUUCGUUAUGUCCGAUGUGAAAGCCCCGAGCUCAACUUGGGGAAUGGCAUUGGAAACUGGACGGGCUGGAGUGUGGCAGAGGGGGGUGGAAUUCCACGUGUAGCAGUGAAAUGCGUAGAGAUGUGGAGGAACACCGAUGGCGAAGGCGGCCCCCUGGGCCAACACUGACGCUCAGGCACGAAAGCGUGGGGAGCAAACAGG
rnacentral:rRNA from 1 species